CAGCAAGUAAGCCAGAUGGGUUUGAUGAACUUGGAAAAAUGGAAACGUUACCAAGGCUUUCCUGUGGGCUACUUAAUCAUUUUAAAAUCCUUUCUGAGGGACAGCUAGCAAUGAAUGUAUAUGCAGAUGAAUCUAUGGGUUAUGGAAAUGAAGGCAUUGUCCCUAGAGGUAAAGAUCAGACGGAGACCUCAGGGUUUAGCAACUCCUAACCAAAUAUUCCAAGACAAAGACAAAAAGAAGGGAGAAAAAGGAAAAAGGAAAAGAAAAAAAUAAUGGGUUGGGGAAAGGAAACCAAGAAGAAAUGAUGUUGCCACAGUAUGUGAUCUGACCACGUGGGAAGAGGAUGGGUAAGAGCAAAGAGAUCAAGAAGUGGCCACUGCCCUUGUAGACUCAGACCUACAGAGAACCAAUGUUGCAGGGUGCUUUUCUGAAUUCAAGGGAAAGCCAAAAUGAGAGAGGGUGAAAACUUGUGUGCAUCUUGCAUAUUUCUUUCUCACUUCUGAUGAUAAUAAUAUUCUUCUGAUAAUAAUAAUUAAAAAUAACAAUAAUAACAAUAACAAUAGUCAGAUAUUAAGUCUUUUAUGUGUGUUAUCUGAUUUA